rnacentral:rRNA from 1 species
GGAAAGAACCAACAGGGAUUGCCCUAGUAACGGCGAGUGAAGCGGCAACAGCUCAAAUUUGAAAUCUGGCUCUUUCAGAGUCCGAGUUGUAAUUUGCAGAGGGCGCUUUGGUGUUGGCAGCGGUCCAAGUUCCUUGGAACAGGACGUCACAGAGGGUGAGAAUCCCGUACGUGGUCGCUAGCCUUCGCCGUGUAAAGCCCCUUCGACGAGUCGAGUUGUUUGGGAAUGCAGCUCUAAAUGGGAGGUAAAUUUCUUCUAAAGCUAAAUACUGGCCAGAGACCGAUAGCGCACAAGUAGAGUGAUCGAAAGAUGAAAAGCACUUUGGAAAGAGAGUCAAAUAGCACGUGAAAUUGUUGAAAGGGAAGCGCUUGCAGCCAGACUUGCCUGUAGUUGCUUAUCCGGACUUUUGUCCGGUGCACUCUUCUGCGGGCAGGCCAGCAUCAGUUUGGGCGGUUGGAUAAAGGUCUCUGUCAUGUACCUCUCUUCGGGGAGAACUUAUAGGGGAGACGACAUGCAACCAGCCUGGACUGAGGUCCGCGCAUCUGCUAGGAUGCUGGCGUAAUGGCUGUAAGCGGCCCGUCUUGAAACACGGACCAAGGAGUCUAACAUCUAUGCGAGUGUUUGGGUGUCAAGCCCAGACGCGUAAUGAAAGUGAACGGAGGUGGGAACCCUUUGGGUGCACCAUCGACCGAUCCUGAUGUCUUCGGAUGGAUUUGAGUAAGAGCAUGGCUGUUGGGACCCGAAAGAUGGUGAACUAUGCUUGAAUAGG